GCGGCAAGAGCUCAAAUUUGAAAUCUGGCUCCUUCGGGGCCCGAGUUGUAAUUUGUAGAGGAUGCUUCGGGCGUGGCCGCGGUCUAAGUCCCCUGGAACGGGGCGUCGCAGAGGGUGAGAAUCCCGUCUUCGGCCGGCCGGCCCCGCCCGUGUGAAGCUCCUUCGACGAGUCGAGUUGUUUGGGAAUGCAGCUCUAAAUGGGUGGUAAAUUUCAUCUAAAGCUAAAUACUGGUCGGAGACCGAUAGCGCACAAGUAGAGUGAUCGAAAGAUGAAAAGCACUUUGAAAAGAGAGUUAAACAGCAUGUGAAAUUGUUGAAAGGGAAGCGCUUGCGACCAGAGUCGGCCGCGGGGGCUCAGCGGGCACUCGUUGCCCGUGCACUCCCCCGUGGUCGGGCCAGCGUCGGUUUCGACGGCCGGUCAAAGGCCCCCGGAAUGUGUCGCCUCUCGGGGCGUCUUAUAGCCGGGGGUGCAAUGCGGCCAGUCGGGACCGAGGAACGCGCUCCGGCACGGACGCUGGCUUAAUGGUCGUAAGCGACCCGUCUUGAAACACGGACCAAGGAGUCUAACAUCCACGCGAGUGUUCGGGUGUCAAACCCGUCCGCGCAGUGAAAGCGAACGGAGGUGGGAACCCUCAAGGGUGCACCAUCGACCGAUCCUGAAGUCUUCGGAUGGAUUUGAGUAAGAGCGUGGCUGUGGGACCCGAAAGAUG
rnacentral:rRNA from 1 species